GGCGGAAGUGCCACACCUGCGAUGCCGAGGAUGAAGAGAAAGGAAAGAAAAGUCCAUUUGUUCGGAGAAAAAGGCCAAAAAGAAUUGCAGUUAGCUGACUUGGUUGGCACCUUCUGUAACGACCGGGUCGCAUGGUGAUGUGGAUUCGUUCUCCCAGGAAUGCAGACGAGCCUCGGACACAGCGUAAAGGUGUGUUCCACGCAGGUGUGUUUCAUCAGGGUCGGACAGGUGGCUCGCAGCUGAUGGGAACUUGACUCUGCUGAUCCACGUCAAGG